rnacentral:rRNA from 1 species
CUACGGAGGAUCCAAGCGUUAUCCGGAAUCAUUGGGUUUAAAGGGUCCGUAGGUGGAUAAUUAAGUCAGAGGUGAAAUCCUGCAGCUCAACUGUAGCAUUGCCUUUGAUACUGGUUAUCUUGAGUUAUUAUGAAGUAGUUAGAAUAUGUAGUGUAGCGGUGAAAUGCAUGGAUAUUACAUAGAAUACCGAUUGCGAAGGCAGAUUACUAAUAAUAUACUGACACUGAGGGACGAAAGCGUGGGGAGCGAACAGGAUUAGAAACCCUAGUAGUCC